GAGUAUGGCUGUUUCUAGAAUAUGCCUCCCCUAUUUUCCUCCAUGACCAUAAGACUAUGGAGUGCUCAUGAAAGUUGCAUUUAUUGGGUGGAGAAGGGUGAGAAAAAGCCCCAAGGAAGGGUCAUUUCCAGGAAGGGCCUGGAUGGAAUGUUCUGGUAGGUAACUCUGCAUGGCCUCUGCAGCAGGGGCUGUAAAAUCCCCUGUGUUGUGGUUUCCUCAGGGUAGGCCAGUCCAUUGCCUUGACUUUGUUGAGACUUCCUUCCUACAGACAUGAAAAGAAGAACUGUUUGUCACUGUAGUGUCUGAGACUCAUUUUCACUUUCAUGUAAUAGCUUGACUUUUCUUCCACAGCCACCCUAGUGCAUCCCCCUCUGUGUGAGUGUGUGUGUAUGUGUGUAUGUGUGUCUGUGUCUGAGACAGUCUUGUGUAGACAGGAUGACCUUGAACUUGCUAUGAAGUUGAGGAAGACCCUGAACGCCUUAUCUUCCUGCUUCCUCCCCAGUGUUGGUACAGGCAAUAUCCUUGACUCCUUUUCAGUUUUAUUUUGUUUUUUUAAUCUCUUUCUGUGCUUGCUCACUUCUAGAUUCCUUCUCUCAGUCUGUAUUUUGGGAGUACCAAAGUUCCUGAGUGCUGUCCUAACCAUAUCUCCAGAUCCCCUGCACAUCAAGGUCCGAAACGAUAAAGGCAGUAUUUCAGACCCCUGCUUGUCACCUUUGACUCAGUCCCACCCCCACCAACCUACAGAGCUUGGAAACUGAAAUGUGCAUUGUAGAACAAGGAUCAAGACAGCCAACAGUGCUCCCCACCAGUGACUGCAGGAGAAAAAUAGUGCUCCCCACCAGUGAUUACAGAAGAGAAGCAGUGCUCCCCACCAGUGACUGCAGGUGAAAGAGGAAAACAAAACCAGAGAAGAAGAAGAUCCCUUCUUGCUGACCAACAGGAUUUGAUGCCUGUUAGAUAGAAGUUGAUGGCCAGAAAUGGAAGAAACCAUUCAAAGAAGCAGAUGAGACUCUGGAUACAUUCAUGAACAGUUCAGGAUCAGAAAAAAAGAAUGUGGCUCAGAGUCACCAGUGAAGAAUCCUGCAGUUCUGGUGUACCAGAAAUGGAGACAGGGAGGUGGCAGCACUAUAGCAUGGAGAUAUUUAUUCAUACAGCAGCAGCAGCAGCAGCAGCAGCAGCAGCAGCAGCAGGAGCAGCAGCAGCAGCAACAGGAGCAGGAGCAGGAGCAGCAGCAGCAGCAGGAGCAGGAGCAGGAGCAGGAGCAGCAGCAGCAGCAGCAGCAGGAGCAGGAGCAGCAGCAGCAGGAGCAGCAGCAGCAGCAGCAGCAGGAGCAGGAGCAGGAGCAGCAGCAGCAGGAGCAGCAGCAGCAGCAGCAGGAGCAGGAGCAGCAGCAGCUAUAACAGCAGCAGCAGCAGGAGAUAUCAUGCAGGAAAGAGAGAUGGCAGAUGAGAAAAGGGCCACCAGGCCAAUGCCACAGGCCAGCUGCUGACCAUUGUGGACAGGCUGAUGCCCCAGUUAGACACUCCAAGAAUGCCCUUCAAUGCCAUAGAUGGAAACAAUUAGCCACAGAACAAAUGUGUAUGUGUUGUGUUCCACUUAGCAAUCUAUUGUGAACAUUUUCCCAAGUAAGCGCCCGGUCUUCCAUGCUAUCUGGGAUUUCACAGUGUUCCAUGUCUGGGAACAUGGUGCUUGUUCAGCCACUUCUCUUUCUUGCCUAUGAUUCCUAUUUCCUUCUCUACUGUAAAGUGCAGCGGGAUGAUGCUCUUGAAGCUUUCAUAGAUCUAGUGUGAUUUUCUUAGGAGAACUUACUGGAAGUGUGCAGGAUUCAUUCUGAGGAAGGGAAGACAACACUGGUGACCUUUAGAUUUCUCUCUAGGCAGAAAACCUGGGAAUGUAUGAGUCAGAGGUGGACUCAUUCUGGUAGAGUGGAGCUGGCCCAUUUGUUUCUGUCUCCCCACCCUCUCUGCCCAGUGCCUCUGGGGAACCUUCCCAUGUCAUAGGGCCACGCUUUAUAAACUUCAGGACCAGCUGACCCUACAUUCUAUUCUGCUGGUUUGCUUGCUCUUAGUUGUUCUGAUUGAACCUUAGACUGUCUGGCCGCAUCUGGCUGCUGGGUCUUUUGUAGAUCGUUAUCUCUGGGUCCUCACUGCACCUCCUUCCUGAGUGGUCAGUAGGUACUUGCUAUUUUCGGAGAGCAGCCAUUGCAUAACACAUCAGAAGAAGGCAGGAUCCUGCAGAUAGAGUUGAAAGGGAAGAAUGGACCACACCUUGUUGAAGGAGAUGGGUCUGAGCCUGUACGAAGCUGAUGGAUUUGGAGAAUUUCCAUGACUCAGGGGUUGGGAAACAGACAGU